UACGUAGGGCGCAAGCGUUGUCCGGAAUUAUUGGGCGUAAAGAACUCGUAGGCGGUUUGUCGCGUCUGCUGUGAAAACCUGAGGCUCAACCUCGGGCUUGCAGUGGGUACGGGCAGACUAGAGUGUGGUAGGGGAGACUGGAAUUCCUGGUGUAGCGGUGAAAUGCGCAGAUAUCAGGAGGAACACCGAUGGCGAAGGCAGGUCUCUGGGCCACUACUGACGCUGAGAAGCGAAAGCAUGGGGAGCGAACAGG
rnacentral:rRNA from 1 species